ACACGUUAAGUUAAAAGUUAAGUUAUGUUAACUUAUUAACUUAACUUAAUUCCUUCAGAUAAAAUUAACUCGUUAACUUAACUCAUUUUCUCCAAGGUUAACUUAAAAUAAACGUAUUUUUUUUCACUUUUAUCAAUUAAGUUAAUUUUGAAUUUCAAAACCAGAAAAACAUUUAUGUUCAAUCCAAAGUCCGUUUACAAGUUCAUUGAAUCUAGAAAAUUAUCAAAAAUAAAAUAAACGAUUCCGAAGAAUAAUAUAAUUUUAUUAAAAGAUAAUAGGAACAUUUUGAGCACAAUAAUAGGGGGUCCCGGGAUAACAAUAUUCGGAUCGUAUAAAUGACUAUGAGUCUACAAUAGCCAAUAGGCAGUAAGUACAUUAAUAGCAACGAGUCCAUGAAUUAUGUUGUUAUUGUUGUGAAUAGUAGCCGUCUACUUUAUCUAAUAAUCUAAAUCUAAUAUUUAUAAAAAAUAUGUUACGUAUUAGUAUUAAUAGUAUUGUACAUUUUUUCUUAUAUCCCUACGGCUUACUUCCGCGCAAACGGCGCUACCGUGUUGGCUGUUGGUGCUGAUAGUUGUUUUUGCAGUAUUGCGUAUUAUUUCACUAUUCGCGUUAUUGUUCAACUACAAAGGACACUGAGCGCAAACGAUCAACAUUUUUGUUUUGUCACACGAAUCGCCAUUAUUGAUUAUUAAACAUGGACAAUAAUCAUCCAAGUAGUAAGUUAUUAUCAAUUACAGAAAUAUUACGAUAUUAUUAUCAAUAUAGUUGUAUAAAAUAAUACCUAUUGAACAAAUGAAUUAAUUACGUUGGCAUAUCAUAGUACCUACAUGUACCUAUACGAUAUACAUACGUAUAUUGUCCAUAUACCAUAUACGUUUUUAGAACCCGGCUAUAUGGUUUGUAUUCAAAAAUAUAUCCUGUAAUACUUGAACUAAAUAGUAGGUAUUCAGGAUAUUUUACUGUUCCUCAAUUUUAGGAAUGUUUCAAUACUUUUCUUGAUAGUUUGAUAGUCUACUUCGUAUUAUGUUAUUGUUAUUACAAUUUGAAUUUUCAAUUUAUAUUCAAAUACCUAAAUUACCAAAUUAGUAAUUGUUUUGUACGUGCUAUAUUAGACUAUCCUUAUCUUGUACAAUGGUGAUUAGAAAACAAUAUUUAAUUAAUACAAACUGUUAAGUAAUUGUGUAACAAACGAAGACUACCCGAUUCAUUGUAAAUAUUAAGUGUUAACAUUUUUUAUAUAAAGAAAUUUGUGAUUUAAGUUUUUAGUACAAAUCAAGAACACCAAGAAGAGAACAGAUCAAAUGAACUCAACUGGCCACAUAUUUCUAAUUAUUUCGAACAACUAAAGUCAAGUGAAUUAAAUUUAAAUUCGAACAAUUUCAAUAUUUAAAUGCCUUAUCUGUGGCCCAAAAGAAAAACAAGUGUCUACUUCUAAAUUAUCUAAUUCAAAUCUUAGAACACAUAUAAAA